CGACUCCUUCAUUUGGCGAAACAGCAGUGUUGGCCGCCGACUUGAGGCUGGAGCUGUGCGUGAUGGGUAUCUUUUGGGUGACAGUGGAUAUCCCCUCAAGCGGUGGCUGCUCACCCCGUUCAACAACCCGCAGAGCGCAGAGGAGCGAAAUUACAACACUCGCCACAGCCAGGCACGAGCUGUGGUAGAGCGCUCAAUAGGCCUGCUAAAGGGCAGGUGGCGCUGCCUCGAUGCCACAGGAGGAAAGCUUUGCUAUAAACCGGACAAGGCAUGUGCAGCACUUUGGUUCGACCGAAAAUCUAUUUUAAAUGUGCUAUAUAAAUAAAAUUUGAUUUGAUUUGAAGAUGUGCCAAAUUGUGAGGCCGUGUGCUGUGCUGCACAAUUUGGCACUCCUUAAAAAUGUGCCGUUACCCCCUGAGGCUGCAUGUACCGGCCACGAGCCAGACCCCCUUCCCCAUGCACAUCCACACCCACACCCAGGUGGAGUUCAACAGCGUCUGGAUGUGAUGCGUAACUUACACACACAACAAGGACUGCAUCUGUGAGGACACGGCCGCUGCUGGAGGGCUGCG